ensembl:lncRNA
UGCCUAGGCUAAGACAUCUGUCUUCUUUCUUCCUUACACAGGGACUUAUACCAUCAGAGUUCCUGGUUCUCAGGCCUUCGGACUCAAACCAGAGUUUACAACACUGGCUUUCCUGGGUCUCUCCUUCUCAGCUUCUCCAAGUUUCUCAAACUAAAGCCCGACUUGGGAUAGGUGAUACCAGGAAACAUGAGGAAGGCAAUGAGGAGAGUGACGCAGUAGAGGAGCCCAGCCAGGGAAGGAGACGGGAGCAAGAUUCCGAUCUGAGGGAAGAGGCACCGCAUGUCCACACCCUCAGAAGACUGGCUGGUCUUCAUUCUGUGGUAUAACUAGAAGCGGGGAAUUGAGUGGGGAGCUGGAAAUUACGCAUCUUGGAGGAAGGGCCAGUCAAAUUAGUUGGCCACGGACUCAUUGCUCAUGUAGAUUCUGGGGACGCAGUGUGGCAUAGUGGUUGAGAUGCAGGCUGUAGAGUUAGACAGACAUGGUUCAGACCGAGGUAGGUUUGAGAUCUGUUUCACCAGUGUACCUUAUUUGGGAGCUUUGGGCUGUAAUCAAUAGAAAACCUAACCCAGAUGAGCUUAAACAAUAAGGAAAUGUAUUGACAGCUGGAAAUUCAAGUUCGGGUAACCUUCAGGGUCAGCUUCAUCCAGUGGCCCUUUUUUUUUGCCAUAUUUUCCUCCCUCAAAAAGUACAUGUACUUUUCUGUGUCUGCUUUGUUCCCAGGCUGGCUCCUCCCUUGGUGAUUGUGCAUGCAUGCCACCUUCCCAACAUCAGCCUUUUUCCUCUUCUGGGAGAUCCCAGAUUUUUUUUUUUCUUAUUGUAAAGACAAUAUAUGUUCAUUUUAAGAAUUUGUAAAAUAAAGAGAAUAAUACAUAAAAAUUAAAAUUAUCACUAAUUCUUCUAUUUUGAAAAAUCUCUGAUGAGCAUAUAUAUAUAUUUGACAUAUACUUGUGUAUAUCUUUAAGAUAUAUCUGUGUCUAUGCAUGUGUGUAAAUAUCUCAUCAUGUAUGUUAAAACAGUUUGGCUUUCAUUUAUAUUCUGUUUGCCAGAUUUAAUCUUCUCUUAUUAGACAUUUUGUUAGGUUUCAAUAAACAUGACAUUACUUUUCCAGAAAGAAAUUAAUUUGGACUUUCUAUAGUUGUUUAAAUCUAAAUGACCAAGUUGUACCUUUUAUGCAAAGGUAUUAAACCUAAUUUCCUUGCAGCAGGGUUUCUGUUGAGUUGAUAGUACUUGUUCUUACUUAGAACACUUAGCCGAUUUGAAAUUGAGCAUUAGUCUUCUGGUUUUGCCUUGUGUUGUUUGAUGUUGGAUUUGAGAAUAAUUUGUCUGGGGCCCUCUUAAACCCACGUUGAAAUAACUUCCUUGUCUGGUGAUUUUUAUGUCAGAAAAGUUCCGUGAACUUGUAUCAUAUUUACUCCCUGGUGCAAGGUUACUGUGCUCUCUGGGGCGUUCCUGUACACAUACGUUUAUGAACAUAAGGAUAGUAAAUUGAUUGUGGAAAAUUCCCUUUAUACAUAUAGAGGAAAUGCUUCUUAACAAUAUAUACAUUCUAAGUCUAACACUGCCAAGAAUAUAAAACCCCAAAUCCCUAGCCUGUGAAACUAGAUUUGUGUGUGUGUGCGUGU